GACGAACGCUGGCGGCGUGCCUAAUACAUGCAAGUCGAGCGGACGAAUUUUGGUGCUUGCACCAAAUUUUCGUUAGCGGCGGACGGGUGAGUAACACGUGGGUAACCUGCCCUACAGUCUGGGAUAACUUCGGGAAACCGAGGCUAAUACCGGAUAAUACUUUUUAACACAUGUUAAAAAGUUGAAAGAUGGUUUUGCUAUCACUGUAGGAUGGACCCGCGGCGCAUUAGCUAGUUGGUGAGGUAACGGCUCACCAAGGCAACGAUGCGUAGCCGACCUUGGAGGGUGAUCGGACACACUGUGACGGAGACACGGCCCAGACUCCUACGGGAGGCAGCAGUAGGGAAUCUUCCACCAUGGGCGAAAGCCUGAUGGAGCAACGCAGCGUGAGUGAAGAAGGAUUUCGGUUCGUAAAACUCUGUUGCAAGGGAAGAACAAGUAGCGUAGUAACUGGCGCUACCUUGACGGUACCUUGUUAGAAAGCCACGGCUAACUACGUGCCAGCCGCCGCGGUAACAC
rnacentral:rRNA from 1 species